rnacentral:lncRNA from 1 species
UUUGUUGUCUUCACAUCACGGUGGAUGAUGGUGUGCUUUGCACCGGUGUGAAGGUAGUGAAGACCACGAGCUGCACCAAUGCAGAUAUCCAAGCGCUGCCUCCAGGUAAGCGGUGGCUUCUGGGUCUUGUACAAGUGCUCGCGAAGAGUACCAUGAGCCAUGUAGUCAUAGACAAGGAUCAUCUCAUUCUUCUCCUCACAAUAUCCAAUCAGUGACACCAGAUGACGGUGGCGGAGCUUGGACAACAUUUCAAUCUCAGUCUGGAACUCAUGAAUACCCUGCUCAGACAACGGAUUGCCGCGCUUGAUAGCCACCUUGGUUGUUCCCCCAUCAACCUCGCCACGGUAAACUUUACCAAAUCCACCCACAC